GUUGUCUGUGAUGUUUAUCUUAGUUUUGAGUUUCAAUGACCAUGAGAAUACCUUACAUGCACUACCAUCUGAGACAUU